UGGGGAAUUUUGGACAAUGGGCGCAAGCCUGAUCCAGCAAUGCCGCGUGCAGGAUGAAGGCCUUCGGGUUGUAAACUGCUUUUGUACGGAACGAAAAGCUUCUGGUUAAUACCUGGGAGUCAUGACGGUACCGUAAGAAUAGGCACCGGCUAACUACGUGCCAGCAGCCGCGGUAAUACGUAGGGUGCGAGCGUUAAUCGGAAUUACUGGGCGUAAAGCGUGCGCAGGCGGUCAUGUAAGACAGAGGUGAAAUCCCCGGGCUCAACCUGGGAACUGCCUUUGUGACUGCAUGGCUAGAGUGCGGCAGAGGGGGAUGGAAUUCCGCGUAUAGCAGUGAAAUGCGUAGAUAUGCGGAGGAACACCGAUGGCGAAGGCAAUCCCCUGGGCCUGCACUGACGCUCAUGCACGAAAGCGUGGGGAGCAAACA
rnacentral:rRNA from 1 species